rnacentral:rRNA from 1 species
AUUGAACGCUGGCGGCAGGCCUAACACAUGCAAGUCGAGCGGAUGAAGGGAGCUUGCUCCUGGAUUCAGCGGCGGACGGGUGAGUAAUGCCUAGGAAUCUGCCUGGUAGUGGGGGAUAACGUCCGGAAACGGGCGCUAAUACCGCAUACGUCCUGAGGGAGAAAGUGGGGGAUCUUCGGACCUCACGCUAUCAGAUGAGCCUAGGUCGGAUUAGCUAGUUGGUGGGGUAAAGGCCUACCAAGGCGACGAUCCGUAACUGGUCUUAGAGGAUGAUCAGUCACACUGGAACUGAGACACGGUCCAGACUCCUACGGGAGGCAGCAGUGGGGAAUAUUGGACAAUGGGCGAAAGCCUGAUCCAGCCAUGCCGCGUGUGUGAAGAAGGUCUUCGGAUUGUAAAGCACUUUAAGUUGGGAGGAAGGGCAGUAAGUUAAUACCUUGCUGUUUUGACGUUACAAACAGAAUAAGCACCGGCUAACUUCGUG